rnacentral:misc_RNA from 1 species
UUUGUGAGCAAUGCCAAGUUCCAGUAUGUUCAAAAUGUGCAACCAAAGACCAUGGUGGACACACAUUUAUAGAUUUAGAAACAGUGUAUGCAGAAAAAUGUGCCAUCUGUCUGAAUGAAAUCAAUAAAAUUGAAGAAUAUUUCCUCCCAACUUCACAGGAUUUGCUUAAAUCCACAAAAAAUGAUUCUACAGAAAUAAAGAAGAUAAUGGAGAGCUUACGCACAUCCAUGAGGGCCGAAGCAGAGUCUUUGAAAGGUAUGGUGGAUGCCGUGACAUCAGAUAAUAUAAAACAAGUCAAUGAACAAGAAAAGUCUCUCUUCAGCUAUUAUGCCCAAGAAAAAAGUAUAAUCAUUACAUUUCUUAUAUUAACGAACAUGUCAAAAAGUUCCAUGGCUACCUUUUUUCUAAAAAUCUUCAAAUCCUGAUGAGCGAAAUUACAAAGAAUCUUGAAAUAGAUCCUAUACCAGUCACCACCAAACCAGUCCCUCCAGUAUUUACUGCUGGUCAAUACAGCAAGGAAGAUGUCACCAAACUACUGGGUAGAGUAACUGUUCCUGACACUAAACCAGAGAACAGAAAAAUAAAACCCAUGAGACUUUUCUACACAGUUGAAUCUACAGAGAGUCAGAGGAAACAAGACAGAGAGAAAUCUGCCAUGAAACAAACACUGUCUCUGUGUUCCUCUGUCACCAAGGUCAGGGAGUACACAGUACCAGGUGUUUACAGUGUAUGGCAUAUAUCAUUAGGUAAAUCAGGCAGACUCUGGGUCAGUGAUAAUGAUGGUAACCUUGUCCAAAUAGAUCUACAGGGAAAUCAGCUACAAAAGAUAAAAACCAGUGGUAGAUAUGAAGGCUACCACACAGUCACACAGGACGGGGAUCUGAUCUAUACAGACAGAAAGAACAAAGUCAUCAAUAGGAUAAAACAGGAUAAUACAGUCACUGAAUUCAUUAAAACAGGGGACUGGGAACCACUCAGCAUACACUCCUCCCACAUCAACGGGGACAUACUGGUGGGGAUGAUAAAGGGUAGAGAGGCUAAAGUCACCAGGUACAACAAAACAGGAGAAGAAAUACAGAACAUACAGAGGGACAACAAAGGACAGGAACUGUAUAGUACACCACACUACAUCACAGAAAACAUCAAUGGUGAUAUCUGUACAUCAGACUUGGAUAAAUAUGCGGUAGUGGCAGUGAAUAAAUCAGGAAAAUAUAGGUUUUCCUACACAGGUCGGGGGUCAGAGUUUCUUCCCUUUGGUAUCUAUACUGAUCUCCUCGGUCACAUCAUUGUCUGUGAUGGUCACAGCGACACAAUUAACAUCGUGGAUCAGGACGGCCAGUUCUUAUCUCUACUACUCACUAAACAACAAGGUAUAAUGUAUCCCCCUGGUCUGUGUGUAGAUGAUGAAAACAAUCUCCAUGUGGGACAAUGGGGAUCCAACACAGUGGCAGUGUACAAAUAUCUACAGUGAUCAUUAUCUGGUUCUGACAAUGUACAAGAAUGGAAUAUUAUAUUGUUAAUAAACUGGAUUUUGUGUGAUGAAUUACAUGUAUUUUGAUAUUUGUAAAUAUUAUGAGUAAAUGUGUAUUCCAUUUCAUAAAACAGUUAAAUUACUGGUACUGUCAAGUUCCAUAUAGUUUAAACUUAGAAAACUAGUUUAUGUACAUUAAAAAAAUUUAAAA